rnacentral:rRNA from 1 species
GACGUAGGGCGCGAGCGUUGUCCGGAUUUAUUGGGCGUAAAGAGCUCGUAGGCGGUUUGUCGCGUCGUCCGUGAAAACUCACAGCUUAACUGUGAGCUUGCGGUCGAUACGGGCAGGCUAGAGUUCGGUAGGGGAGACUGGAAUUCCUGGUGUAGCGGUGAAAUGCGCAGAUAUCGGGAGGAACACCGGUGGCGAAGGCGGUUCUCUGGGCCUGUACUGACGCUGAGGAGCGAAAGCGUGGGGAGCGAACAGGAUUAGAUAC